rnacentral:snRNA from 1 species
UUUUAAUUCUAAUAAGUGAGGAU